rnacentral:rRNA from 1 species
CUAGUGAUUAGUUUGAUCAUGGCUCAGAUUGAACGCUGGCGGCAGGCUUAACACAUGCAAGUCGAGCGGCAGCGGAAUGAAGCAUUUGUUUCAUUGCCGGCGAGCGGCGGACGGGUGAGUAAUGUAUGGGGAUCUACCCGAAGGCGGGGGAUAACCACUGGAAACGGUGGCUAAUACCGCAUUAUCUCUAAGGAGCAAAGUGGGGAGCAGGGGAUCUUUCGGGACCUUGCACUAUUGGAUGAGCCCGCGUGAGAUUAGCUAGUUGGUGGGGUAAAGGCCUACCAAGGCGACGAUCUCUAGCUGGUCUGAGAGGAUGAUCAGCCACACUGGGACUGAGACACGGCCCAGACUCCUACGGGAGGCAGCAGUGGGGAAUAUUGGACAAUGGGGGCAACCCUGAUCCAGCCAUGCCGCGUGUGUGAAGAAGGCCUUAGGGUUGUAAAGCACUUUCAGUGGGGAGGAAGGUAUCAAGUUUAAUAAACUUGGUAAUUGACGUUACCCACAGAAGAAGGACCGGCUAACUCCGUGCCAGCAGCCGCGGUAAUACGGAGGGUCCGAGCGUUAAUCGGAAUGACUGGGCGUAAAGCGCGCGUAGGUGGUUAUUUAAGUUGGAUGUGAAAGCCCAGGGCUCAACCUUGGAACUGCAUCCAAAACUGGGUAACUAGAGUACAGUAGAGGGGGGUAGAAUUUCAGGUGUAGCGGUGAAAUGCGUAGAGAUCUGAAGGAAUACCAGUGGCGAAGGCGGCCCCCUGGACUGAUACUGACACUGAGGUGCGAAAGCGUGGGUAGCGAACAGGAUUAGAUACCCUGGUAGUCCACGCCGUAAACGAUGUCUACUAGCCGUUGGGAGGCUUGACCUCUUAGUGGCGCAGCUAACGCGAUAAGUAGACCGCCUGGGGAGUACGGCCGCAAGGUUAAAACUCAAAUGAAUUGACGGGGGCCCGCACAAGCGGUGGAGCAUGUGGUUUAAUUCGACGCAACGCGAAGAACCUUACCUACUCUUGACAUCCAGUGAACUUUCCAGAGAUGGAUUGGUGCCUUCGGGAACUGAGUGACAGGUGCUGCAUGGCUGUCGUCAGCUCGUGUCGUGCGAUGUUGGGUUAAGUCCCGCAACGAGCGCAACCCUUGUCCUUAGUUGGCCAGCCUUAAGUUGGGCACUCUAAGGAGACUGCCGGUGACAAACCGGAGGAAGGUGGGGAUGACGUCAAGUCAUUAUGGCCCUUACGAGUAGGGCUACACACGUGCUACAAUGGCGAGUACAGAGGGAAGCGAACCUGUGAGGGUAAGCGGAUCCCUUAAAGCUCGUCGUAGUCCGGAUUGGAGUCUGCAACUCGACUCCAUGAAGUCGGAAUCGCUAGUAAUCGCAAAUUAGAAUGUUGCGGUGAAUAUGUUCUCGGGCCUUGUAUAUAUCGCCCGUCACACCAUGGGAGUGGGUUGCAAAAGAAGUAGCUAGUUUAAUUUUUGGGAGGAUGGUUACUAUUUUGUGAUUCAAUGACUGGGGUGAAGUCGUAACAA